rnacentral:rRNA from 1 species
AACGAACGCUGGCGGCAGGCUUAACACAUGCAAGUCGAACGCCCCGCAAGGGGAGUGGCAGACGGGUGAGUAACGCGUGGGAAUCUACCUAGUUCUACGGAACAACAGUUGGAAACGACUGCUAAUACCGUAUACGCCCUAUGGGGGAAAGAUUUAUCGGAAUUAGAUGAGCCCGCGUAAGAUUAGCUAGUUGGUGGGGUAAUGGCCUACCAAGGCGACGAUCUUUAGCUGGUCUGAGAGGAUGAUCAGCCACACUGGGACUGAGACACGGCCCAGACUCCUACGGGAGGCAGCAGUGGGGAAUAUUGGACAAUGGGCGCAAGCCUGAUCCAGCCAUGCCGCGUGAGUGAUGAAGGCCAUAGGGUUGUAAAGCUCUUUCACCGAUGAAGAUAAUGACGGUAGUCGGAGAAGAAGCCCCGGCUAACUUCGUGCCAGCCGCCGCCGUAAGAC